rnacentral:rRNA from 1 species
GACGAACGCUGGCGGCGUGCUUAACACAUGCAAGUCGAACGGAAAGGCCCUGCUUUUGUGGGGUGCUCGAGUGGCGAACGGGUGAGUAGCACGUGAGUAACCUGCCCUUGACUUUGGGAUAACUUCAGGAAACUGGGGCUAAUACCGGAUAGGAGCUCCUGCUGCAUGGUGGGGGUUGGAAAGUUUCGGCGGUUGGGGAUGGACUCGCGGCUUAUCAGCUUGUUGGUGGGGUAGUGGCUUACCAAGGCUUUGACGGGUAGCCGGCCUGAGAGGGUGACCGGCCACAUUGGGACUGAGAUACGGCCCAGACUCCUACGGGAGGCAGCAGUGGGGAUUAUUGCACAAUGGGCGGAAGCCUGAUGCAGCAACGCCGCGUGCGGGAUGACGGCCUUCGGGUUGUAAACCGCUUUCGCCUGUGACGAAGCGUGAGUGACGGUAAUGGGUAAAGAAGCACCGGCUAACUACGUG